GAUGAACGCUAGCUACAGGCUUAACACAUGCAAGUCGAGGGGAAACGAUGAGAGAGCUUGCUCUCUUAGGCGUCGACCGGCGCACGGGUGAGUAACGCGUAUCCAACCUACCCAUUACAGGGGGAUAACCUUGCGAAAGUAAGACUAAUACCCCAUGGCAGCUUCUGGUGGCAUCAUUAUAGGAUUAAAGAUUUAUUGGUAAUGGAUGGGGAUGCGUCUGAUUAGCUUGUUGGCGGGGUAACGGCCCACCAAGGCAACGAUCAGUAGGGGUUCUGAGAGGAAGGUCCCCCACAGUGGAACUGAGACACGGUCCAAACUCCUACGGGAGGCAGCAGUGAGGAAUAUUGGUCAAUGGGCGAGAGCUUGAACCAGCCAAGUAGCGUGCAGGAUGACGGCCCUAUGGGUUGUAAACUGCUUUUAUAGGGGAAUAAAGUGAGCUACGUGUAGUUUAUUGCAUGUACCCUAUGAAUAAGGACCGGCUAAUUCCGUG
rnacentral:rRNA from 1 species